rnacentral:rRNA from 1 species
CCUACGGGUGGCAGCAGUGGGGAAUAUUGGACAAUGGGCGAAAGCCUGAUCCAGCCAUGCCGCGUGUGUGAAGAAGGCCUUCGGGUUGUAAAGCACUUUCAGUGGGGAAGAAAGCCUUGGGGCUAAUACCCUCGAGGAAGGACAUCACCCACAGAAGAAGCACCGGCUAACUCCGUGCCAGCAGCCGCGGUAAUACGGAGGGUGCGAGCGUUAAUCGGAAUUACUGGGCGUAAAGCGCGCGUAGGCGGUCUGAUAAGCCGGUUGUGAAAGCCCCGGGCUCAACCUGGGAACGGCAUCCGGAACUGUCAGGCUAGAGUGCAGGAGAGGAAGGUAGAAUUCCCGGUGUAGCGGUGAAAUGCGUAGAGAUCGGGAGGAAUACCAGUGGCGAAGGCGGCCUUCUGGACUGACACUGACGCUGAGGUGCGAAAGCGUGGGUAGCAAACAGGAUUAGAUACCCUUGUCGUC